rnacentral:siRNA from 1 species
AGAACUUAAACCGCAACCAGAUCU